UACGUAGGCAGCAAGCGUUGUUCGGAAUUACUGGGCGUAAAGAGUGUGUAGGCGGUGCUCUAAGUUUGGUGUGAAAUCUCCCGGCUUAACCGGGAGGCUGCAUCGAAUACUGGAAUGCUAGAGGGUGGGAGAGGUAAGCGGAAUUCCUGGUGUAGCGGUGAAAUGCGUAGAUAUCAGGAGGAACACCUGUGGUGUAGACAGCUUACUGGACCACUUCUGACGCUGAGAUACGAAAGCGUGGGUAGCAAACAGG
rnacentral:rRNA from 1 species